CGCAGCGGGCUGCUGCAGCUCUACACGGAUCGGCCGGGGCGUCCGCAGGCGUUGCAGCGGCUUCGUGCCAGCCUGAACGACCACAGGCCAAGCAUGCAGGAGUGGGAAAUGAUGAAGCGCCACGUGCACGAGCAGCGCAUGGAGAUAAAGAAUCUCGUGGCCGAGAGGAACCAGCUGCGUAAGAGGGUCGCCACCAUGGAGCUCUACUGGUUCCCCAAGCGCGAUGAGAAGCAGUCAAUGGCUGUUGAAGAUGCUGGCUAGUCGUCAUGCGCGGUGGCCAUAUUGGUGAUCUGCAUACAAGGAAUCGAACCUGUAAAUGACCGUUAUG